rnacentral:rRNA from 1 species
AAGUCGCGCGAGAAAGCCGGGGCAACUCGGCGAGUACAGCGGCGGAAGGGUGCGUAAUACAUGGAUAACGUACCCUCGAGUGGAGGAUAACCCACCGAAAGGUGGGCUAAUACUGCAUGACGGCGGGGGGUGGCCUCAUUUCCCGCUCAAAGCAGAGAUGCGCUCGAGGAGCGGUCCAUGGCCUAUCAGCUAGUUGGCGGGGUAACGGCCCACCAAGGCAAUGACGGGUAGCCGGACUGAGAGGUUGAACGGCCACACUGGGACUGAGACACGGCCCAGACAUCUACGGAUGGCAGCAGUAGGGAAUCUUGCGCAAUGGGCGAAAGCCUGACGCAGCGACACCGCGUGGGGGAUGAAGGCCUUCGGGUUGUAAACCCCUUUCAUGAGGGAAGAAGACUGACCUAACCUCAGGAAGAAGCACCGGCUAACUCCGUGCCAGCAGCUGCGGUAAUACGGAGAGUGCAAACGUUGUUCGGAUUCACUGGGCGUAAAGGGCACGUAGGCGGCUCGGCAAAUCGGUCGUGGAAUCCCGUCGCUUACCGGCGGAACGGCGGCCGAAAAUACCGGGCUUGAGGGCGUGAGGGGUCACUGGAACUCCUGGUGAAGCGGUGAAAUGCGUAGAUA